GGCAUAAGGAGGAAGGGGGAGGUGGAGGGGCUUAGUCUACACAAGGAACAUCAACGUGUGGGGGGCGGCAGAUCGAUCAUGAGGAAAUAUCAGAGGGGUGGUAAUUUAUAGGUGAGAUCUCGUAGGACUUGGCCGCCGAUGAGCGAACGAGGAAUGCGGGGAGGCGUUGGAUGUGGGCACGAACCAUGUGAGGUGCGCGAGAGGAAGCUGCAGCCGGUGGAUCGGAGCUGGGUGGAUUUCCACACGAACGAGAGGAAGGGGGAGAAAGAUUAAGGGAGGAGGAGGCUGCGCGUGCAUGAGGUGAAGC
rnacentral:lncRNA from 1 species